AUGCCCCUUAUGACCUGGGCUACACACGUGCUACAAUGGGCAGUACAACGAGAAGCAAACCCGCGAGGGUAAGCGGAUCUCUUAAAGCUGCUCUCAGUUCGGACUGCAGGCUGCAACUCGCCUGCACGAAGCUGGAAUCGCUAGUAAUCGCGGAUCAGCACGCCGCGGUGAAUAC
rnacentral:rRNA from 1 species